UUUACGCGUCCCAUGAUAUUGCGAGAAAAGAAAGACGAUGAUAGAGCAUGGUGGGAAAUGUAUGAUUACUGCGAUGAUACUUUUUACUCUGAUAUUUUGUCGUUUCUACCACUUAGUAACUGUAAAGAUGGAGUUGUUCUAUAUAUAUUCAAUGAUAAAUCUUUUCCUUCAGCGAUGAGUUUUUUAGAAAAAGCUGGGAUAAUUGGGAUCUAUACUACAUCUGUUUAUGUGGUUUCUAAGAUAAUUCGAUCUCUUAUUACAAACAAUCAUAGAAGAAUAAUGUUUGAAGAUUUACCAUAUGUCGAUCGAGUUUUAAAGUUGUGCAACGACAUAUAUUUAGUACGUGAAACACAGGAGUAUCGGCUUGAAGAGGACUUAUAUGGAAAGCUUAUAUUUUUAUAUAGAUCUCCAGAGACUCUUAUAAAAUGGACACGAUUUAAAGAAGAUUUUCCAGAGAAUACAUCAAGCACACAGCUUAAUAAGCGGCAAAGUCAAACGGAUCAUAAUCAUAAAAGUUCCAAACAUUCCUCAGAAUCCGAUAGUAGAUAUCCGUAAAUGUACCUGUUUUAUUAUUUUUAAUAAAUGUAAUAAUUGCAUUUA